rnacentral:rRNA from 1 species
GACGAACGCGGCGGCGUGCUUAACACAUGCAAGUCGAACGGAGCGAAUGAAAGCUUGCUUUUAUGAGCUUAGUGGCAAACGGGUGAGUAACACGUAGGCAACCUGCCGACAGGAUGGGGACAACAUUCCGAAAGGAAUGCUAAUACCGAAUGAAGCGGAGGAGAGGCAUCUCUCUUCCGUGAAAGAUGGCCUCUGAAUAUGCUAUCACCUGUCGAUGGGCCUGCGUCUGAUUAGCUAGUAGGUGAGGCAACGGCUCACCUAGGCGACGAUCAGUAGCCGGUCUGAGAGGAUGAACGGCCACAUUGGGACUGAGACACGGCCCAGACUCCUACGGGAGGCAGCAGUGGGGAAUCUUCCGCAAUGGGCGCAAGCCUGACGGAGCAACGCCGCGUGAGUGAAGAAGGUCUUCGGAUCGUAAAGCUCUGUUGAUGGGGACGAAUGUGCGUGAUGCGAAUAGUGUCAUGCAAUGACGGACCUAUCAGGAGCCCCG